CCUGGCUGAGCUAAAAUUGCCGAUUCAUGAGAAACCACAACCGGUUCACAAACCACCAUCAUUUCACAAGCCACCCGUUUAUGAGCUAGAAGGACAUCAUAAACCACCAUUUCACAAGCCACCUGUGCAUAAACCCCCGGUUUAUGAUACAGAAGAACUUCACAAACCACCAUUUCACAAGCCACCAGUGCAUAAACCCCCGGUUUAUGAUACUGAAGAACUUCACAAACCACCAUUUCACAAGCCACCAGUUCACAAACCUCCGUCAGUUAAUUAUGAAACAGAAGAACUUCACAAACCACCAUUCCACAAGCCCCCAGUGCACAAACCACCAACAGUUGAUACCGAAGAACUUCACAAACCACCAUUUCACAAGCCACCAGUGCACAAACCCCCGUCAGUUAAUUAUGAAACUGAAGAACUUCACAAACCACCAUUCCACAAGCCCCCAGUACACAAACCACCAACAGUUGAUAUCGAAGAACUUCACAAACCACCAUUCCACAAGCCCCCAGUACACAAACCACCAACAGUUGAUAU
rnacentral:lncRNA from 1 species